rnacentral:rRNA from 1 species
UACGUAGGGUGCAAGCGUUGUCCGGAAUUAUUGGGCGUAAAGAGCUCGUAGGCGGUCUGUCACGUCGGCUGUGAAAACCCGAGGCUCAACCUCGGGCCUGCAGUCGAUACGGGCAAACUAGAGUACUGCAGGGGAGACUGGAAUUCCUGGUGUAGCGGUGAAAUGCGCAGAUGUCAGGAGGAACACCGGUGGCGAAGGCGGGUCUCUGGGCAGUAACUGACGCUGAGGAGCGAAAGCGUGGGGAGCGAACAGG